rnacentral:rRNA from 1 species
UACAGAGGUCUCAAGCGUUGUUCGGAUCCAUUGGGCGUAAAGGGUGCGUAGGCGGCGCGGUAAGUCGGGUGUGAAAUUUCGAGGCUUAACUUCGAAACUGCAUUCGAUACUGCCGUGCUAGAGGACUGGAGAGGAGACUGGAAUUUACGGUGUAGCGGUGAAAUGCGUAGAUAUCGUAAGGAAGACCAGUGGCGAAGGCGGGUCUCUGGACAGUUCCUGACGCUGAGGCACGAAGGCCAGGGGAGCAAACGGG